rnacentral:rRNA from 1 species
AGCUCCAAUAGCGUAUAUUAAAGUUGUUGCAGUUAAAAAGCUCGUAGUUGGAUUUCUGGUAUGGUGCGCCUGGUCCGCCCCGUUUCAGGUGUGUGAGUACCGGUGCGCGCCUACCAUCCUUCUAGAAAGCAGCGCUACCCUUCACUGGGCCGGCGUUGUAAUCUAGAUCGUUUACUUUGAAAAAAUUAGAGUGUUUCAAGCAGGCAUAUUUGCUUUGAAUACAUUAGCAUGGAAUAAUAAGAUAGGACUUGGGUUCUAUUUUGUUGGUUUCUAGGACCGAAGUAAUGAUUGAUAGGGACAGUUGGGGGUGCUAGUAUUCCGCGGCCAGAGGUGAAAUUCUUGGAUUCGCGGAAGACUAACUAAUGCGAAAGCAUUCACCAAGGAUGUCUUCUUUAAUCAA